rnacentral:tRNA from 1 species
AGUUAAUGAACUUGAAAAGUAUAUGUUUUGAAAACAUAAAAUAGAAGUAAAACCCUCUAUUAGCUU